GGAAGUAAAAGCGUAACAAGGUUUCCGUAGGUGAACCUGCGGAAGGAUCAUUAAUGAGUUGUCAUGGGGUUCGAUGCUGGCAGCCAAUUUUUGGAUGCAUGUGCUUGCCCUAACAAUCAUCUUCCAAACACCUGUGCACAUUUUUGAGGGAGUCUUGAGUUGGUUGCCGCUCUUGGGUGAUUUUCUCACAUUCCCUUAAAUCAUUAUACGCUAUUAACAAUGUUGAACGUGCUCUGUGCCGCAAGGCUAUUAAUAUAAUACAACUUUUAACAACGGAUCUCUUGGCUCUC
rnacentral:misc_RNA from 1 species